rnacentral:ncRNA from 1 species
UCGAUUAGGGGUGCUACAACCUAUUGUGGCUGAGAUUAAACCCUCGAACCUGAUCCGGAUAAUGCCGGCGGAGGAAAAAGAUUAU